AUUCUUUACGGUAAGAGCAGUGAGACUAUGGAGCUCUCUGCCUGAGGAGGUGGAUGAUAAAGGGAUAAUCAUAUGUCAGGACACAUGAGGUCCAGAGCUCUGGAAUAGACAAAGGCGCAUUACCACAGCGCAGGUCACCAGCAUCACCGCGCCUCUGGCGGAACU